GAUGAACGCUGGCGGCGCGCCUAACACAUGCAAGUCGAACGGCACCCACCUCCGGGUGGAAGCGAGUGGCGAACGGCUGAGUAACACGUGGAGAACCUGCCCCCUCCCCCGGGAUAGCCGCCCGAAAGGACGGGUAAUACCGGAUACCCCGGGGUGCCGCAUGGCACCCCGGCUAAAGCCCCGACGGGAGGGGAUGGCUCCGCGGCCCAUCAGGUAGACGGCGGGGUGACGGCCCACCGUGCCGACAACGGGUAGCCGGGUUGAGAGACCGACCGGCCAGAUUGGGACUGAGACACGGCCCAGACUCCUACGGGAGGCAGCAGUGGGGAAUCUUGCGCAAUGGGGGGAACCCUGACGCAGCGACGCCGCGUGCGGGACGGAGGCCUUCGGGUCGUAAACCGCUUUCAGCAGGGAAGAGUCAAGACUGUACCUGCAGAAGAAGCCCCGGCUAACUACGUGCCAGCAGCCGCGGUAAUACGUAGGGGGCGAGCGUUAUCCGGAUUCAUUGGGCGUAAAGCGCGCGUAGGCGGCCCGGCAGGCCGGGGGUCGAAGCGGGGGGCUCAACCCCCCGAAGCCCCCGGAACCUCCGCGGCUUGGGUCCGGUAGGGGAGGGUGGAACACCCGGUGUAGCGGUGGAAUGCGCAGAUAUCGGGUGGAACACCGGUGGCGAAGGCGGCCCUCUGGGCCGAGACCGACGCUGAGGCGCGAAAGCUGGGGGAGCGAACAGGAUUAGAUACCCUGGUAGUCCCAGCCGUAAA
rnacentral:rRNA from 1 species